GAUGUGAUGACUGCAAGGGGGUUGAGCGAAAUGCCUGGCAGGUGCCCACUUCAUGGCUCUACUUACUUCUUGCCAUUCCUCUGCCCUCCAAGCAUAGAGAGGACACGGUGGGGCUUGGCAGACGCGUUCCGACUCCGGUCUGGUGUACGGGUUGCACUCGGACUCUCUGGCUAUUUUGUGUGCUCCCAUCUGACAGCCCACGUUUCUCCGCCGUGUGCCUUGGCCGCAGGACACAGAGCACUGAGAAGAAAGACUCUAGGAUAAACUCUCAUUUUCCCAGUCUGUUGGGAAGGAGGUGAAAAAGCCACAUUAGAAACUGAAAGGUAAGCUAGCAGACAUCAAGAAGCCAGCAAACAACCUCAGCGUGUCUGCCUGGAUAAGAAGGGCUGAGGACCUAGAAAGAAUGAGACUCCUGGGUUGCCAAGGCAGCUGCGAACCUGGACAUCCAUAUGAAGAUGAAAGAGUACCUGGAAUUGGAUUGGCUGCCAAUAGGUUAGAAAUAAUGAAGAACUGAAAGGCCAAGAGGAAGGACAUAUACUACAAGCCAUUACCAAAUUAAGUCAAGAUUCUGCUGAUAGAAGAAUUUUUGACAAUUAGGUAGCUAACCAUCAUUCUGAGACUGGUGAGCAGAUUUCAUUUUUGAGAGAGGACAUUGUACUAAUCCUUAUUUGCCUUUCCAUUGUGAGUCCAUAAAAUAUGAAAGGAGCAUUUAAAUCCCUUCACUUCAAAAAUGUUUGGUUGCAUCUUUUACUAACAACAACUCUUCCUGAUUUUAUUCUCGUUUUGGUUUUGUUUAACAAAACAUAAAGUCAAACCUCACCUGAAAACUAUGCUGUCAGCAAGGAUGCAAGGCUUGCGUCCAAGGUUCAGGACUGCCUUUGCCAAUUAGGGUGAUGGAUGAAGUGAGUAUGCAGGGGCUUCACACCAUCAGGACAGGCAAAACCAGUCUGCAUACACUCUUCCACCGAAGCCAGAACGAAAGCACAAGGAUAUAGACUGAGGGAUCAGAGCACCAAACACUGCUCAUGCUCAGUGUGGGGCCUGGAAACCACGCGGGCUUGCCACAUAGGAAAAAGACAGUAGCUGCCACUCACACGUGCUUCUGUGCUGCCUUCCACGCCGGAGGCAGCCAGCAAAUAAUUAUGGAAAUGAAUGAACACAUGAAAUCUGUAUCCAUCCCAGAAGCAUACUAUAAACCAAAUGUCACAAAGAAAGAACCACCCGGCAUCUGACCCACAGUGUGAAUGCUGAACUGAUUUGGCACAAAUUAUUUAGAUUCCAAAAGGCCACCCCAGGACCUCUCUUCCAGUUGGAACAGAACUAUUGGAAAUCACACCAGCUACCUUCUAUUGAACUCUUUCUGUGAAUAGAAAACCAAGCUGCAGGACACUGGCUUCUGUCAUUUAAUCCCAAAGGCAACCUGGUGACUUAGAUACUAUUAGGAUUCCUUUCUCCAGAUAAGGAGAACCAAAGAGGUGACAUUACUUGGCCAGGGUCACAAAGCCAGGAAGCAGCAGAGCUAGUCUUUAAAAAUUGUACAUCCUGGGCUCCAGAACCACCACUUUCUUCCUUCAACUACGUUGAAGAAAGGGCUUGGUUAAGAAAACAAGCUGCUCAUCUCGGCUUACCCAAGGCAACAAGAGAAAGCAAGGACCUCAAAGAAAUGUCUCUUGAGACUAUUCUAGAAGCCUCUGAUUCCUCAGUCUCUUAGGAAGACAGUACCUAUACAAUGUUAAUAUUUCUGGCUUUAUUACUUUCUUCACAACAUCUUUAGGACCCUGGGAAGAAAGACACUUAAGAGUGCAAACAUACAAUCACCUAAAUAAAGGGCUUGAUUUCCCUUUGCCUGAAGCCACACCCUGAUUUUCUCCUGGCCAUUUUUCAGCAUUUAUUCACCCUCUGGGGUCUGCCUGAUGCCAAAUGGCAAAUGACUGCUUCUGUUCACUGGUGAAUGGCUCUUUGCAUGGUCACGAAUGGAAGGCUGCGGGUUGGGAAUUUGGGCCUGCCAAUUCACUGAAGACUAAUCUCUCAAAUGUCUGAGCUCUAAGGCAUCUCAAAGAUUGUUCAGUCCAUCUGUUUGGCUUACAAAUCCAACACUAGAGGAAAGGAGACAUGGCGCACUCACAGUCACACAGCAAGGAAGGAAUAAAUGCAGGCUUAGGACUCUAAGUUCCUAUACCCAGCACAGAACACUAUCCCUCCAGGGAUUUGUGGCCAACUACUGGUGUUCUGCAUGUUGAUCAGGAACCACAGCUAAUGUGUCAUCCUGAUUUCUCCUGAGUCGCUUAUGCUCACAAAGAGCUAGCAUGAUAAACAGGGACUAGCAAGUCAGGCACCGAUCCUACCCCCUCUGACAUUGAUGGAUGGCAAGCACCAGUAUGAACAGGAGUGAGUGUAACAACCUCCCGUUCCAGAAUGCCACUUAAGAAUACCAAGGGAGAGAUGUGCAUGCGCGCCAGCACAGGCAACAAAGCUUACUGUUUUGGCUUCGUUGUGCUCUAAAAUGUAGCAUUUCAAGGCACAGGUUCUGGAGUCAGGCCAUCCUAGGCUGACACGCCAUCUGCCAUUCUACUUUGGUGCUAUUUGGGUCAAAUUACUUAACCUCUCUCAGCUCAGAUCUGUUCUCUGUAAAAUGGGGACCACAGCAGAGUCUACACUCAACACAGUUAUGUCACAAUGAAGGGGGACAAGGCAUCCAGACAGAGCUGUUGGUGUUGUGGCCAAGCACUGUAAACCUCAGUACGCAUUCGCUAUCACCACUGCUACUAUUUCUAUUCAGCAGAGCCUUUUAGAACAUCUCCCAGUGCGUGGAUAAAAAGGAAAGAGGUGAAGAUGGUACAAGGAUCCACACUCUGUGCUUGCCACAGAAUUGUUCAUGAAGGCAGUCUGGAAGACAGGGGGCUAGUGGGUGAGGUAUUUGUGCCAGGAUCCUUAUUCUCAGCUGUUGUGAAGCAAUGAAGAUGUCUACUACAAACAUGCCCUUCUGCACAGCACUUCCUCCUUGACAUCAUGUCCCUGACCUGCCACUGCUAAGAGGUUCCCGGAUAUUUCACAUCUGAUUAAGAGACAGUCAAUGAGAAGGAAAUCAUGAUUUCACCAAAAACCCCCCACAAACUGCAAUGCAAUAGAGCUCCCAGAUCAUAACCAAGUCUUAUCUUUCACCCACCACGUGGAUGGAGGAAUACAGUGGUUGGGACAAUAAGGAGUGAAGAACAGAAUGUAAGGCCAGAACCCAAAAUGGUUGACUGUUCUACUGAUGGGAACAGAAGAGACUCAGCGAUGCCCAAAGAAGAGCUUAGUUUUAGCUCAAGAAACAGUUUGGAAGAUAUCUCAAUGUGUUUGAUGGGUUUUAUUUCAACCAGAGAGCUUUUAGUGUGAAAUCACUUUUUAAUAAAUUUUAAUUUCAUAAUUCACUUGUAGGGGAGUAGAUUACAUUCUACAACAGACCUCAUCACCACAAACAUCUGCAAAUUCCCUAAUUGGCUUUUACAGAAUCUGAGCUAUUGUUCUGAUUAUCUAUAUAUCCAAAAAAAAAAAACCUCUUAGAUUUAUAUUACCCCAAUUUAUUUCAUUUCUCUUUGUAUAUUAAUACGUCAGAAAUAUCACCCAAUGCCUGUUUAAUAAAUAUGGAUGCCUUUUUCUCGAAAUCUUCAAAGAACCUAAAUUUUGCUCCCUACAUGGUUUAAUUUGAGGAGAAACAAUUUUCUCAUAUUCAUCCCUUUAGAGCUCUGAGCAAAAUUUGUUAAUGGCUCAGGAAUUUCAGAAUGUUUCAAAUAGUUACAAUUUGGGAGAACAGAAAAUCUUAAAUUUCCUCUUUCCACAAAGGUUACAUUUUACCACUUCACCAACUAAAGACCAAAAUGAGGGGAUUAUAUCUUGGUUAAAACCCGGGGUUGAAGGUCAGAAAGUCCCAGGUUCAAGUCCUAACUCAGCCCCUUCUCAACAGGGUGACCUAGACCCAAGUAGUUAACUUCUCUGAUGGUGCUAACUUCACCAGGUAGAGAGGAUUAAAUUAGACAAUAUGGGUGAAUUGCUUUGUAGAAUUCCUAGCAAAAAGUAAGUGCUCCAAAAUGUGCUCACUAUAAUUAAAAUAAAAAAUAAUAAUCAAAUAAUUAAAAUAGAAAAUCAAACCCUCUUUAUAAUCAUGGAAAGGAAUACAUUGUGCAAAAUUAAGCAAAGGAAAAAAAAAACCAGCUCUUUUGUGGAAACCUGAAGCUAUUCAUCCACUUGCUGAGAUCCUGAGAAUUAUUUUACUUAUCUCCCAUUUCAAUGUAUAGCCAACCGGAGAGUGAACAUAACAAAUUAUUAAGUGCUUCUUAAAAGGAGACCACCUGAAUGGUUUAGAGUUUAAUUCAGAUGUCACCCUAAAGGGAAAAACAACAACAACUACCUGGCCACUGGAAAAGAGAAUUGAUGACAUCAUCAAUCUGCAUUAAAAUGUUGUUGCGUACAUUUUAAUUUCAAGGGGGUGUCAGCAUGGGGCAUGAACAUGAAUGAAUCCACAAGGAUUUUCUUAACACUGGGGAGGCUAUGUUUUGCAAGCUAAAUGAAAAACAUAGUGAUGGAGGAGACAUUGCCUCAACUCUGAUUCUUCUGAAGUGUCUUUCAAACACAGCCCCUUAAAGCUAAUCUGCUCAACCUUUACCUACAGGGCUCGGUGAAUAUGAAAAGCUGCCAUCCUGAAACUUCCUUCAAAGAGGGACUGAUCUCUUGGAAUUCAAGCUUCUACAAGCAAAGCCCUCCAGAAUGACGUACUGUCAACGAAAGUCAACAGAACGCUCCAUUAUGACUGCCUAUGACUACUGGAUUAUGUGAAAUGUGGACACGUGAUUUCGGUUAGCCAGGAGUGUGAACUAACAUGCCCAUCCAUCUCACUUGUCUUUUUCCCCUCUUUUGGCACUGGGGUCUCCAAGAUGUUAAUCUUCAUGUUUUAUUUUAUAGAUUUUACAGUCAAGACAGACCAAUGCAACAAGCUCUAAAUAUGUGCUCUCCCUGUGGACUCAAGAGUAGAGAGAUACAGCCUUGGUUAAUUACACACAAAACAAUAAGCAUCUAAACCUUACACAGAAGAGUAGCUCACAACCCCAUUUGAUAAUAACAGUAAUACUAACAAUAAACAGUAGUAGUAGUAGUAAUGAUAAUGAUUACCACUUAUUAUAAUAGCAAUUAACUUUGAUCGAAGACUAUGUGCAAGGUAUCUGACCCGCACUAUGUCAGAGAGUAGUCAUAAAUUGGUGCCAUUAUUAUGCCCAUUUACAGACGAUGCUAUAGACAUUUGGCAAAGUUGUAAAAUUUGCCGAGGCCACAAAGCUUGUAAGAGUCAGGGCUGGGAGUGGAAUCUAGUUCUGUCUGUUCCAAACACUCUACUGCCCCUCGUUGGUCAUCAGGAUGCCACUUUUGAAAAGGUAACAGCUGAAGAAUUUUAUUAUUUGAUAUUAUUCAGCUAAUUAUUCUCUCCCAUCAUUAAAAUGCAUCACCUCCACCAAUAAAAAAUAAAUUAAAAAAAAAGAAAUGUAGGAAUAAAGAGAUGAUCAUCAAAAAAAAUGCAUCACCUCCAAUGGGAAUAACAGCACCUAUUUAUAUUGGUUUCAUCAAGGACUAGAGAUACUAGGAUUUGGUCUCAUCAAGGAUUUUAAAUAUGCCAUGGGAACAAGAGUGCAUCACAAACACCCCAAAACUACGAAAAAGAUGGCAAUGCUUUCUUGGACCAAUUUAACACAUGUUUCCAAUUACCUUAAAAGUAUCCAUUUUUUCAUCAGAGGUUAACCAACAAUUCAACCUAGCAUUUAUCUGCAUGCUUUGCUAAUUUUCCUCUCCCAUGUAUUUAAAAGGUGUCUCUACUUGAUCAUAAACGCACUCUUAAAAUAAUAGUCCAGAAUGAAGACAGGUCUCCUACUUAAUCUCAAUUGCAGAAGCUUCCACUAGAACUCAUUCUUUGUCUUUAAAAUAAGCUAUGAACAACAGCACAGUUUGGUCAGCAAAAUUGCUCUGCUUUUUUUCCCCCAAGGAUGUACAAAUGGAUGGCUGUCUCUCACCUCUCCCCAGUUGCCGUAAGCCCACUGAGGACAAGGGCCAGAUUCACAGGCUCUUUGCUCAUCGGGUUUUAUCCUCUCCACGCAGUCAUUGGCGGUGUAUCCGUUUUCAUCUUGACACACGACCACGCGCCGCUGGGACCCACCAGCACAAGUACUGGAACACUGAACACAUCACAAGUCAGUCAGCAGGUUAAUCCCUACCUCCAUCUGCACCUUAGGGACGUAAAAAAUAGCUGGUUGGAAAGUCAGAGACAAAUGUGACAGAAUGAGUUCUCAAGUUGUCUGGACGAUGGGCAAAGAGCAAGCCUGAGAAUUUCCCUUCUUUUUUUUUUUUUUUUGAGAAUUUCCCUUCUGUGGGGCCGUCUCAUGCACAUGCCCUUAUCAACACCUGGAUGGCAGCAACAGGGCUUCUCCUUUGCACAGGUUAGGCCCUCAGCAGGUGUUCAAAAGAUGCCCCAGGAGUGAUAAUGCCUUGUGACUUCCAAAGCAGUCCCAUUUAUUGUCUCCUUUUAACCCCUUCAUGUCCCUGAGAAGUACGGAGGUGUUAACAGACACCGCAGUCUAAAAAAAAAAAAAAAAAAAAGACACCACAGUCUACUGAGAAACUCUUCUUUUCAAAACUCAAGUGCUUAUUUAGAACCAACAUUGGACUUCUCUUUAAAUGCAGAGGUCAAAUUAUAUGCUUAAUGAUACACCACUAGUUAAAAUUGAGCUUCCAUAUUAAACUCAUUCAAUUACCCACAGCAUCAUAGACUGCCACUUAGACAUCAUUUCCUCACAGGGAGUAUUCCCUUCUCUCCCUCCACAAUAGCCUUGACUUCAGUGGCUGAUGGCAGCAUGAUAUGUUUUUUAAUAUAUUUUUUACUUCCCCAAGGACUUUAAUUGGAUUCCAUAUUGACAAGCCUCUCUUCAGGGGCACUUUCUGUGUACUGCUCUCUCUCAUGGCUGUCACAGAAUUAUGUUUGCAUUUCAGCUAAUUUCCCACCCAAGCUUCUCAUAGUUCUCUUAUUUAUCUACAUCUUGAGUGUUUUUUUCUUUCCAGAAUGCCCUUAUCUUUUGAAAACCAAUGUGUUUGCUAGUAUCCUUCACUCUGACCCUUAACAUGUAAAAUCAGUUUGCCUAUAAAGAAAACAACUAGUCUCAAAGCAAUGCAAUUCCCAUGAAUAAUUUAUUAAGUCUCUAACUGCACUGGCAACUUUUUUUUUUUUUUUUUACUGCUGGGUUCUGAUGACAGGUUUGUACUUUCUACAGAACUCUAGCUCAAACCAGGGUUAUUUCAAAACACCUGCAGACAAUGCUUCUUGCUGGUCAGCUUCUUCCAAAUAAAGCUGUGAAUGUAUUUUUGGGCUUACUGCAUGGGACCUAAGCUCAAAUUCCCUGCUUAUACUGGACAAAUUAUGCAUUACUUUAAAAUACAUUGGGUUUAAUUUUAAAAUGUUAAAACAGGAAAAUGGAUUUAUGACUUUUCUCUGAGAAAACAUUUAGGCAACUUCUGAUUUAUAAAAAUUCCAUCUCUAGUCUCUGAGGAUUCUGAUCUAAUGACUCUAAACUUGAACAUACUUAUUUUCUAUUUUUAAACUGCUUAGGACAUAAUAGAUAUUACAGAAUCAUUAUUUUAAUUAACUUUGGGGACCAGAAUUUAUAAUGUUAGGAAGGAACUUCCAUAUUGUAAGUACAUUUGUAAUAUAUAUUCUGGCUCUUGAGUUUUUCCCUUGAUAAUACAAUCUUGUAUCAUGCUUU